ensembl:lncRNA
CAUUCAGUUAUCCCCUGGAAUUACUGGCAAACUGGUAUUAUUCUGACUUCUGAAAGCCCUGUCUUUCCCUCAGGGAUUUUCCUUUCCCCCUGUGCCUCACAGUCACCUUGCACAAAUCCUUCCUCCUCCUUCUAGGCAAACUACUCUUGAGUGCAGGAAAGCCCAAGAUUCUCCUGUGAAGUCCUUGGCGUCUCUUCAGGAACAGCAACAAGAUACCUUCCCCUGAGUGCAGCCAUCUCUGGCUUUCCAUGCUGUCCUGCACCCUGUAUCAGGCACCAUCUGCUUGAUGCCACAUCUCUCAAUGAGGCCCUGCUACACAGAGGCAUCUGGCUGUGGCACAAACAGGUCAGCCAGCUCUGCCUGGUUCUUGAGGAGAGCUUGUGGUGUGGGGCCAGAUCCGGCAGGAAGUUAAGGCUUGGCGUAGCACAGGGAGAGGUUCUGGCUGAGCACCGGUGUGCUGUGAUGUUGAAGGCUGAUUGCGAAACCAAGAGGAAUUAAGAAGCCAAAGAUCACUCCAUAGAAUUUCUUCAUCCCACAGGAUCCAUUUCUUCAUGAGCAAUGUAAGCAUGGUCAUUCUGAAAGCCCAUCUUCUUGUCUCUUGAUGUUUUCCUUUGACUUUAAGGAGCCUAUUUCUGGUAUUUGGCGGGAUUUUAUUUGCAUACAGUAGAAGAAUUUGAAUUUCGUCCUUUUAUACAACUGGCCAAGCCCUGGGGACAGCUCUGAAUCUGCAGAGGUCUGCUGACUUCUAUUCAUAACUGGUUUCAAUCCUCUGUGUUGCUUACUGUGUGUGAGAGAGAUUAAUAUAAAUGAAGCACUGAUCAAAUGUUUUCUGAUGGCAAUAACUGACAAGGCAAUGGAUCAUGCAGAAAUUGUUCCACAAUUUUCUUGUUAGCUUUUCUUAGUAUCUUCUUGCUUCUCUGUCGCAGAAUCUAUGGCUGCCUCUCUUACAAAUGUACAUUUAUGUUCACAGCAGAUCCAUAGAGAUCUCUGUUCAGGAAUAGAACAGAAUGAAUCUGCCAAGUCCACAGGCAUGAUUUCUCUGGAAAGCGAAUAGAGGAACAGGGAUUGAGGAGAAGUUUCACCAUUUGGUGUCUAAACAGUAGUUAAUACCCAGUGAGUUUUCUGUUGGCGAAUAGGCAGGUGUAUCACCUUUAUGUAACAUUGCUGACAUUAUUGCCAGCUAAGUACUAAGGGCAUCUGUAAAGAAAAAUGCUUGUAACUCUUCAAAAUUUGAAUGGUAUGUCCAGAUUAGCUUGCUGAGACAGAAUUUAAAAAAAAAAAAGUAUGCAAAUUAAAAAUCAAAUUGCCUGCCAACUGUUGGCACCCUGUUACCUCUGCUAACAUUUGCAGGCUCUUAAAGGAUCCUGGGUGCACAAUAGCUUCAGGGAGGUCUGAAGGUGAAGUUCUGGGCUGUGACUCUCAGGUAUGUAGUAGGGAAGGCUUUGUGAGCACUAUUUAUAUUCUUCUGGGAGUUGGGGGAAACUUGGGUGUAAUUCAAUGGAAUUAGGAGUUUAUGUAAGACAUGACUGUUUUAUGUUUCAGAAUAAAACCAGGCAUUUUACUGCUUUGUUUCUGUGC